UAAUUGUCCAAUGGGCGGAAUCCUGAUCCAGCCCAUGCCGCGUGUGUGAAGAAGGUCUUUUGUUUGUAAAGCACUUUAGUUGCGAGGCGGAGGCUUCUAGUUCUAAUACUAGUGGAUAGUGGCCGUUCCUCGCAGAAUAAGCACCGGCUAAUUCUGUGCCAGCAGCCGCGGUAAUACAGAGGGUGCCGAGCGUUUAUCGGAUUUUCUGGGGGUAAAGCGUGCGUAGGCGGUUGAUUAAGUUCGGAUGUGAAAUCCCUGAGCUUAACUUAGGAAUUGCAUUGGAUACUGGUCAGCUAGGGUAUGGGAGGGGAUGGGAGAAUUCCAGGUGUAGCGGGGAAAUGCUUAGAAGAUCUGGGGGGAAUCCCGAUGGGGAAGGCACUCAUCUGUCUUAAUCCUGACGGUGAGGUACGAAAGCAUGGGGAGCAAACGGGAUUAGAUCCCCUGGUAGUCCCAUGCCGUAAACGAUGUUUUCUAGCCGUUGGGGCCUUUGAGGCUUUAGUGGCGCAGCUAACGCGAUAAGUAGUCCGCCU
rnacentral:rRNA from 1 species